rnacentral:rRNA from 1 species
CGAGCACUCUAGACGAACUGCCGUUGACAAAACGGAGGAAGGUGGGAUGACGUCAAAUCAUCAUGCCCCUUAUGUUCUGGGCUACACACGUGCUACAAUGGCCGGUACAGACGGACGCAAAGCCGCGAGGUGGAGCAAAUCCUAAAAAGCCGGUCUCAGUUCGGAUUGCAGGCUGCAAUUCGCCUGCAUGAAGUCGGAAUCGCUAGUAAUCGCAGGUCAGCAUACUGCGGUGAAUACGUUCCCGGGCCUU